ACCUUCAUGGGACUGACGCUGCGUCUGUUUUCCAGGAGGCGCGGCUGCCAACCAUCACCACCUUUGUACUGCCCGAGGGAUACGACUGGCAGGAGGUCAUCGCCUUUAUUAUGAAUAAACAUGCCAUUGAGAUCUCAGGGGGGCUGGGCCCGUCGGCAGGGAAGGUUCUUCGAAUAGGACUCAUGGGCUAUAACUCCACCAAGUUCAACGUGGACCGAGUCCUCCAUGCCCUGAAAGAUGCCUUGCAGCACUGCCACAAGAACAAGCUGUGAGCUGCUCCUGGGGCGGCAGCAGACUCAGCCCAGAGGGACCGUUUCAGGCCUUGCUCCUGCCACUGUCUUCUCUCGAACUCAGGCUGGAGGCUGCAGUGGGGACACUGCCCACACUUCCCUCCCCUCUUGUACCCGUGAAAUCCAGGGGGUGCUGGGCCAGCGGCAGCACCCUACAGGAACCAUGAAGCCUGCCGCACCCCAGGAGCCAGGCUCCCUUUGCAGUGCCACGCGGAUCUGCACAGGGCUAUGCAGAGGCUUUGCUUUCUGGCUGGCUGACCAGAGGGUGCUCAGGGCAGUGGGAGAGACAGCUCAGCACGGGAGGUAGGACACGGCCCAGCUCGUAUGGACACUAGUUCUGCCUGAGCUUCCCUCGGAUCCAAAGCUGGCGGUGCUCCUGAGAAGCAGUGUCCUGCGAGCCCACCCUCCCCUUCCAGGACUUGAUCAGCGGCCUGCAGGCGAGGCCUGUGCUCAGGAGAACAAGGCAACGGGAUGGGGAGGACCCGGGAGCAGAGGGCAACCUGCAUCAGUGGGAGUGGAGCUGAGGGGCGCCCAGCCGGGGCUCCUGCCUAGCCACUGCCGCAAGGCCGAAGAGGCAAGCCCCAAGCCGCAGCCCUGCUCCCACGGCCAUGACUGCUCCCCCCUUCCCACCCUGCCUCUGUUAAUUCAGCAGGCGGGGGCUGAGUGCCACGGGCUGGCUGGUGCUUGGCCUCGCCCUCGGUGCCUGUCUGGUCACACCUGCCUCCAGCACACCAGCUGCACGCUGCCUCACAGGCCCGAGGAGCCAUGCUCCUCCUCCACCCCACCCCUGCCGUGUCGUCCGUUCAGCAUGAGCACGGCCGCCUGCUCCCAGUGGCCCCCCCCCACCAAAGCAGGAUGCUGGAAGUGCCCUCGGCAGCCUCGCUCCCCCAUGCAGAGCCAUGUGCGAUGUACGUGUGUAAAUUCACUGGUGCAAGGGCAUGCCCUGGAACAGCUCCCACCACGUUAAUAAAUGGGGCCUGUGGCCUGGCACAGCG